CCAAAAGGUUCAGAGUUUCCAACUUAGAGACAGCGUCGAUUUGGAAAAUGCUGGAAAGGAUCUAAGGGAGGACCGCAGAAAUGCUACCUGUGUGCAUGGGGUCCCAGAAAGUGGAAAACUGGCAUAGAAGAAGGCUACACACAGCCAAGCCACUCAUCUAUUCUGGGCAUCCAGAGCCCAAAGAGCCAAAGUAAUACUACUAGAAGAGGAAAACAGAGGAGGACAUGCCUGGAUAUGUGGUGUCCUCUGAGGAACGGGGUCACUCAGGGCUGCUGGCAUAGUCUGAGGCUUGAUUGGAGGGCUGUUUGGCCAGUGGUGUGCUUCCCACCGACACCUCAUCAUCUCU